rnacentral:rRNA from 1 species
GACGAACGCUGGCGGCGUGCCUAAUACAUGCAAGUAGAACGCACAGUUUAUACCGUAGCUUGCUACACCAUAGACUGUGAGUUGCGAACGGGUGAGUAACGCGUAGGUAACCUGCCUGGUAGCGGGGGAUAACUAUUGGAAACGAUAGCUAAUACCGCAUAAUAUUAAUUAUUGCAUGAUAAUUAAUUGAAAGGUGCAAUUGCACCACUACCAGAUGGACCUGCGUUGUAUUAGCUAGUAGGUGAGGUAACGGCUCACCUAGGCGACGAUACAUAGCCGUCCUGAGAGGGUGAUCGGCCACACUGGGACUGAGACACGGCCCAGACUCCUACGGGAGGCAGCAGUAGGGAAUCUUCGGCAAUGGACGAAAGUCUGACCGAGCAACGCCGCGUGAGUGAAGAAGGUUUUCGGAUCGUAAAGCUCUGUUGUAAGAGAAGAACGGGUGUGAGAGUGGAAAGUUCACACUGUGACGGUAUCUUACCAGAAAGAGACGGCUAACUACGUG